UACAGAGGUGGCAAGCGUUGUUCGGAAUUACUGGGCGUAAAGGGCUCGUAGGCGGCCAACUAAGUCAGACGUGAAAUCCCCAGGCUCAACCUGGGAACUGCGUCUGAUACUGGAUGGCUUGAAUCCGGGAGAGGGAUGCAGAAUUCCAGGUGUAGCGGUGAAAUGCGUAGAUAUCUGGAGGAUACCGGUGGCGAAGGCGGCAUCCUGGACCGGCAUUGACGCUGAGGAGCGAAAGCUAGGGGA
rnacentral:rRNA from 1 species